rnacentral:rRNA from 1 species
GGUUAAGUCCCGUAACGAGCGCAACCCUUGUCCUUAGUUACCAUCAUUAAGUUGGGGACUCUAAGGAGACUGCCGGUGACAAACCGGAGGAAGGCGGGGACGACGUCAAGUCAUCAUGGCCCUUACGAGUAGGGCUACACACGUGCUACAAUGGCAAGUACAGAGGGUUGCGAAGCAGUGAUGUGGAGCUAAUCUCUUAAAGCUUGUCGUAGUCCGGAUCGGAGUCUGCAACUCGACUCCGUGAAGUCGGAAUCGCUAGUAAUCGCAAAUCAGAAUGUUGCGGUGAAUACGUUCCCGGGCCUUGUACACACCGCCCGUCACACCAUGGGAGUGGGUUGCUCCAGAAGUAGAUAGCCUAACCUCGGA